CUCCGGUGAUCCUGCCGGACCCGACUGCUAUCGGAUUGAGAUUUAGCCAUGCGAGUCGAACGUCCCCCUGUUGCGGGGGGCGUGGCGUACGGCUCAGUAACACGUAGUCAACCUGCCCUGGAGACAAGGACAACCCCGGGAAACUGGGAUUAAUCCUUGAUAGGUCAUCUCAUCUGGAAGGAGAGAUGGCUUAAAGGGGUACGCGGGCUUCUUCCGCGAAUUCGCUCCAGGAUGGGACUGCGUCCGAUCAGGCUGUUGGCGGGGUAAUGGCCCACCAAACCUGUAACCGGUACGGGCCUUGAGAGAGGUGGCCCGGAGAUGGACACUGAGAGAAGGGUCCAGGUCCUACGGGGCGCAGCAGGCGCGAAACCUUCGCAAUGCGCGAAAGCGUGACGAGGUUAAUCCGAGUGACUCCCGCUGAGGGGGUCUUUUGUCAGCUGUAAAUAGGCAGGCGAAUAAGGGGAGGGCAAGCCUGGUGUCAGCCGCCGCGGUAAUACCAGCUCCUCGAGUGGUCGGGGCGAUUAUUGGGCCUAAAGCAUCCGUAGCCGGUUCCGUAGGUCCUCUGUUAAAUCCAACCGCUUAACGGUUGACCUGCAGAGGAUACCGCGGGACUAGGAGGCGGGAGAGGCGGACGGUAUUCCGCGUGUAGGGGUAAAAUCCUUUGAUCCGCGGAGGACCACCAGUGGCGAAGGCGGUCCGCCAGAACGCGCUCGACGGUGAGGGAUGAAAGCUGGGGGAGCGAACCGGAUUAGAUACCCGGGUAGUCCCAGCCGUAAACGAUGCUAGCUAGAUGAUUCAUUCGCAAGUCGCGAAUGAAGUGUCGCAGGGAAGCCGUUAAGCUAGCCGCCUGGGGAGUACGGUCGCAAGACUGAAACUUAAAGGAAUUGGCGGGGGAGCA
rnacentral:rRNA from 1 species